AAUCCAUGAUGAGGACAUUUCUGCAAAAGGACCUUGAACUGUUCCCAUGUCUCGAACAAGGAUUCUAGCUCCAUCUGAACAUAUUAAGAUAUUUCAUUGUGGAGCUU